CCAAGAGUGAAUGAAAGGUCCCCAUGGAUGGUUUUAGCCCUCUGCCUGCGUCAUCAAGUCCACUGGCAGGACGGCACAAAGAACUUCUGCAGUGAGCUGGAUAGGCCUUAGGCUUUCCCACUGACUCCUGAAGUACAGAAUUCGGAUGAUUACACAGGAGGUAAGAGAUAAGGAAGCUGAAGCUCGGAGAAGUAAUGUAAGAUCCAACAGCCAGAAUAAACCACGGGAGGGGUCCCCCAAAAUCACCAGUGACAUGGACCUGAAGGGAUGGUCAGCAGGUCAGAGAACAGAACCAGCGCUGGAAGGUGGAAGGACAGCUGUAAACACGAGAACUGCCCGCUAGCAGGGUAAAGGUGUGACAGUCACUCAAGCCCACACUCGGAGAUCUGGAGUGUCCAGAUUUGUGUUUAAAGAUGCCUGGAGGUAUUAUCUUAGAAAGCUCCGCGUGGACCUUAGGAAAGCUAAGGUGUUCGGCUGCCUAACAGACAUAAGGUAACCAAUGGGCUCAAAGUUCCACUUGGAUAUGAAUCAUAGACUCUGCAUCCAGACUGCGCAGGUAGACGAUUUUCUUGUCAUCAUGCCCUAAAAUACAGUCUAGCACUACUUAUGACACAUUCACGCUGCUUUAGGCAUAAGGAGCAACCUGGAGGUGAUGUGAAGGACACAGGAGGGUGGGUGGAGGUUGCUUGCAGAGACUCCCCAUUUAUGUAUGAGACUUGAGCACCUGCAGAUUCGGGUGUCUGUGGGGGUCAUGGACCCAACCCCCAUGGAUAUCAGGGAUACUGCACUUGAGCAUAAUUAUUCAAUCGUUAAACAAAUUAACCCACUUCCCCACGUGUUGGUAUAGGUGCUUGCUAUUUGGAUCUGGAAUGUUACCCAAAGGCCCAUGUGUUAAUGGCGUGGUCCUUGAUCUGUGGUGCUGUUGGGAGGUGGUGGAACCUCUACGAGGUGGGACCUCAUGGCGGGAAGUUAGGUCACUGGGGGCAUGCCCUUGAAGGGGAUAUUGGGACCCCAGUCCCUUCCUUUCCCUCUUUGCUUCCUAACCAUCACCAGGUGGGCAGCUGCUCUGCCCCAUGAUGUGCUGUUCGCCAUAGGCCCCAAAGCAGCUGGACCAACUGACCAUGAACUGGAACCUCCCAAACUGUGAGCCAAAAUAAACCUUUGUUCUUUUUAAGUUGAUUUUAUCAGGCAUUUUGUUACAGUGAUGAAAAAUGGUCUACAGAGUGUUUAAAAUACAGCAUGCCCUUGCAGAGCUUAUUUUCUAGUGGAAUGGUAGGGAAGAAAGAUAAAAAAAUAAACAUAGUUAAUAGUAUGAAGUGGUGGUAGAAAUGCUAUGGAGAAAAAUAAAGCAGAGUAAGUGAGUGAGGAAUGCAGGGCGGGAGGAGGAACCUCAAAGAUGACGCUUGUGGGGAGAUAGCUCUGAGCAGAGGUCCCAGUGAAUUGAGGGCGUGGGCCAAGCAGGCAAAGAACAGAAAAUGCAAAGGCCCUGAGUCAAGCCUAUGCUGGGUGCUUUCCCGCAGAGACAGGGAGAGUCUUGUCUGAUCUCUGCUGGUUAAACCACGUCUGGAAUAUGUUGAGUAAUUCUGGGAACCAUGUUGAUUGGUAGAUUUUAAGAUAUAGAAGGGUCUGGAACCAGCUCGUAUUAGGAGUGGGUUAAAGAAGAGGGAGACCUAGGCCUACCUGCAUACCUGUGUCAAUACUUGGCACAUGACACGUGUUCCGUAAGUAUUUGUUCAAUCGGGGAAAAAAAUAAAACCCCACACAACUGUAACUGUUCAUCCCUAGUGGAAAAUACCCAAUGAACUUUUCAAAACUGCUAAGAAAUAUAUAAUUUUAUUCAGAAAUCUUAGUGUUGUAAUAAUAAUGGUUCUGCUAUUUAAAAUUUAUUAUAAUAGUAAUAAUGUUCAUGCUAUUAGGAGCUCAGGUUUAUUUUCUUUCUGUGCUGGGGUUUGGACCUUGUGCAUCCUAGGCAAGAAUUCUGUCACUGAGCUACCUGCCAGUCCUAGGAGCUGAGAGUUUUUCAGUGUAAAUGAAAAGGCAUGCAAUUUGAAAAUCAGAGAAAUGACAUUAGAUCUGCAUUAUCUAAAAUUUGAAUUCAAAAUGUCAUUAUGAAUUUAUAAGGCUUUUUUUCUCUUAAAAAUAUUUACGAGUUUUCUCCUAUGUACGUCAAAAAGACCUGGAAGCAAUGGUCAAUAAAAUAGCAACGAACAUAUUUAGCAUCCAGAUGGUGGUCCCUAAAAUCUGUAUUUUUAUUAAAGGCUCCUUGGGGGAAUGGCUGAUUCCAGGUUUUAGGGAGGUAAUGUGCAAGAUGAGCUUAGAAUAUUUCAUUGUGGUAGAAAUAGGGAAGCCAUCCUGUCAAGUUCGUAAAUCACCCGGGAAGGGCCCUUACUAGCCACAGAUGGGACAAUUGGAGUAUCAGAAAGAACGAUGACUUCAAUGGAAUGAAAUAUAUCAAAUUGUUAAGAAUUGUUAAGAAAAAGUCAUUGGUCACUUUUCGCAGGAUGCUAAGAUACUAUCUCAUUAUUCUGGAAAUGGGAAAAUAAAGGGAGGAAGAAAUGUUCCUCUUUUUUGAUGAAUUUCAGCUCAUAAAUGCAGGAGAGAGGAUCAGAGUGUCGUCUUUGGCAAAGCCUCGCGAAGUAACGAGGGAGGCCUGGUGAUCAAUGCGGAGGCAGCUGGGGGAGGCGGGUGGGUUGCUUCCCAAUGUGGACGAGUCAGGCAGCACCUGGACUCAGACCCAGCUCAACAUCAAAAGGGAAUGGGUCACAGGGUGCUGCCUCCAGAUAUGCUGCAAGAGGACCCCACACCUCCUGCACCGCCCGCAACUCAGAACUGGACUCAGAUCGAGUCUCAGCACCUAAGUAUUGGUUCACCGGAAAUGCAGGUGAGAGAGGAGUACCAUGGAGCUGCUGUGGCCAAACUCAGGGAGCAGGAGAUUCUGCAGGAAAAUGAGCUGUUUUCUCCCUCAGGAAAUAAAGGGCACGCCCCGCCCCCACACCAAAAAAACCAAAAAAAUAAAAAAAAUUAAAGGAGGGGACCUGAUAUAGAUCAAAAGGGACUUAUGUCAUACUCCCUUUGUGAACAGGCAGGUCUUGGUGGCAUGUCAUGAGAACAAAUCCAUCAGGAUGGAGUUAUGAACACUGACCAGGUAUUAGACGAUAUUAAAGAAUAUUACAGUUUUAGGUGUAAUAAUGGCGUUUGGCUAUGUUACAGCAAAAAGGCGGCUUUGUGUGUUGCAAAUACACUCUGAAAUAUUGAUGGGAGAAAUGGCAUGCUAUGCAGAAUUUGCUUGAAACCAUCCAGUGAUCCAUGGAGACGGGACGUAGAAGAGGGGAUACCAAGAACGGUGGGAGAGGGACGGGCAGUGGCUGCCGGGGUGGAGAGGAGGUGUCGUGGAAUGCCGUAGGGUGACGGGCUCGUCUUGCGACGACACUAAAAAGCCGCUGAAUUAUAUAUUCUAGAAGGGAGAGUUAUGAGAAUCAGAUCCCAUUUUUC